rnacentral:rRNA from 1 species
CUUACCGGGUCCGGACACACUGAGGAUUGACAGGCAAUAUUAUAAUAUUCUGUAAUACAUUCGUGUGUUCACAGUUAUUAUAUGUUAAAUAUGCUAGUCCUUUCAUGAUUAUGUGAUAGGUGGUGCAUGGCCGUUCUUAGUUNGUGGAGUGAUCUGUCUGCUUAAUUGCGUUUCACUAUUGGGUUCAUAUAAUUACGUAUGUUGUUGACGCUUUGACCCCUUUUUCUACGGAAAUUGCGCGUGUCUUAGUUUUUCGUUCAGCUCAUACAAUUGAACCCUGAAAGCAACGAACGUGACCGCAACCUCUUGUUGCUCUCAAUUUUGACAUACUGGCACUUGUGUCUAUUGUCAUGCUAUGAUUUCUCAUUUCAUUAUGACGAUUUCUUAGUUAAGAGAGCUUUCUAAACUAGAGGGACCGCUGUUACUUUCUUAAACCAGAGGCAAGGUUGCGGCAAUAACAGGUCUGUGAUGCCCUUAGAUGUUCCGGGCUGCACACGUGCUACAAUGAUUAUUGCAGUGAGCAUCUCAUUUUUUACACAUCGCAUGCGCGAGUACAAUUAUUCAUUGCUUCGGUAAUGCUUUAAUUGUGUACCUCUGCGCGCGAUAAAGCCUACUUCGAAAGUAAGCGGGUAAUCAAUUAGAAGUAAUGAUUUCCUAUUUUUUUCUGCACACAUAUAUAUGGCACAUAUACCCGGGUAGCCUUGUUGCUACUUCUGUGCGUAUCUGUGAUGAUUUGUAUUUUUACAUACAUCUCAUAUUACCAUAUGUGCAAUUGUCAAUUCAUGGUGGGGACAGACCAUUGUUAAUUGUUGGUCUCGGUCUUAACUAGGAAUGCCUUGUACGGAUCUUUGGUUCAACAAACCAUCCGGAAUACGUCCCUGCCCUUUGUACACACCGCCCGUCGCUCUUACCGAUGGACUUCUCUGUGAGUUUGAGGGACUGGUAUAUGAUUGUGUUCGCACCAUCGACACUAUAGAAACUUAAACGAACAGUGGGGUCUAAAGGAAAGAGAAGUCGUAACAAGGCAUCAGUAGGUGAACC